rnacentral:rRNA from 1 species
CUUGUUUUCUAAAUAAAGACUAGUAUGAAAGGCACCACGAGAUCCAAACUGUCUCCCUUUUCUAAUCAGUGAACCUAAUCUCCCCGUGAAAAAGCGGGAAUUACCCAAUAAGACGAGAAGACCCUAUGGAGCUUUAAACACUAUUACACCUGCAAAAUUAACACCAAAAUGUUUUAUGUGCACCAUGAUUAUAUGUUUUCAGUUGGGGUGACUGCGGAGAAAACCCAAUCCUCCAUGGUGAACGGCCUACGCCUAAACAAUAAGUCACAACUUUAAGUAUCAACAAAUUGACUCCAUUGACCCAAUACAUUGAUUAACGAACCAAGUUACCCUAGGGAUAACAGCGCAAUCCACUUCAAGAGCCCCUAUCGACAAGUGGGCUUACG